rnacentral:rRNA from 1 species
UACGAAGGGGGCUAGCGUUGCUCGGAAUCACUGGGCGUAAAGCGCACGUAGGCGGAUUCCUAAGUCGGUGGUGAAAUCCUGGAGCUCAACUCCAGAACUGCCUCCGAUACUGAGAGUCUUCGAGUCCGGGAGAGGUGAGUGGAACUGCGAGUGUAGAGGUGAAAUUCGUAGAUAUUCGCAAGAACACCAGUGGCGAAGGCGGCUCACUGGCCCGGUACUGACGCUGAGGUGCGAAAGCGUGGGGAGCGAACAGG